CCUACGGGUGGCAGCAGUCGAGAAUCAUUCACAAUGGGGGAAACCCUGAUGGUGCGACGCCGCGUGGGGGAAUGAAGGUCUUCGGAUUGUAAACCCCUGUCAUGUGGGAGCAAAUUAAAAAGAUAGUACCACAAGAGGAAGAGACGGCUAACUCUGUGCCAGCAGCCGCGGUAAUACAGAGGUCUCAAGCGUUGUUCGGAAUCACUGGGCGUAAAGCGUGCGUAGGCUGUUUCGUAAGUCGUGUGUGAAAGGCGCGGGCUCAACCCGCGGACGGCACAUGAUACUGCGAGACUAGAGUAAUGGAGGGGGAACCGGAAUGCUCGGGGGAGGAGUGGAAUGAGGAGAGAUCGAGAGGAACACUCGGGGCGAAGGCGGGUUCCUGGACAUUAACGGAAGCGGAGGCACGAAGGCCAGGGGAGCGAAAGGGAUUAGAUACCCUUGUAGUC
rnacentral:rRNA from 1 species